GACCCCUUAGCUCAGUGGUAGAGCGUCGCAUUCCAGUCUUCUAUAUCGUCCUUGGUGUAUCGCGAAGGCCGUCCGUUCAAUCCGGGCAGGGGUCA